GACAGAGGAACUUAGGCUUAAACCGCGGCGUCCUGCUGCGAGACUUUAGCCACCACGUCCUGUGGA
rfam:Bacillus sp. FJAT-27916 Scaffold1, whole genome shotgun sequence.